UAGCUCUGAAAUUUAAGGUGUGCUCGGCUGGUUUGGGUUCUAAAAACACUGGAACUCUAAAAUGAAGUCUGAUGGAUGACAAUCUGUGUUGAGGCACACCAGAGUAUCCUUUAAAAGCAUUUUAAAAUCAGCUCCAACAUCAAAGCAAACAAGGAGCCAGGACUGAAACCAGCUUUAAAUGGGUCUUCAUAUUUGUUUUUUAGCCAUGUUGCUCAGAAGGUCUUAGUACGUCUCCCUCAGUCAUCUCUGAUGUCAUGGUAUCCUGUAUGUAGAGUUUGAAGCCACUGAAAAUAGUAUUUUGCUCUUCACUUUGGCUAUUUCAAGGAUUUAGAGAGAACUUACUUGAAGAAAUUCAUUUCACAAAGGACAUCAUUGAAAACAUUGGUUAUAUUACCAGAACUUUGACUGGAAUGCCAUAUUUGAGAGAGACAUGCAUAGACUCAGAGAUGACCAGACAGCUUUAAGGAACUAAGAUGGACUUUAUGCAGCCAAUGAAGCUCCUUGGAAAAAAAAUCAGCCCGAUACCUUGCUUACAGAGUUCCCAGCAGCCUUACCAGGUGAGU